AGCACCUCGAGUGGUCAGGAGGUUUAUUGGGCCUAAAGCAUCCGUAGCCGGUUGCAUAAGUUUUCGGUUAAAUCUAUGCGCUCAACGUAUAGGCCGCCGAAAAUACUGUGCAGCUAGGGAGUGGGAGAGGUACACGGUACUCGAUAGGAAGGGGUAAAAUCCUUUGAUCUAUUGAUGACCACCUGUGGCGAAGGCGGUGUACCAGAACACGUUCGACGGUGAGGGAUGAAAGCUGGGGGAGCAAACC
rnacentral:rRNA from 1 species